rnacentral:ncRNA from 1 species
CUAGAGUCUUUAUCAGUUUUGUCAGGUAAAGCGAAUGAUUAGAGGUUCCGGGGAAGUAACUUCCUCGACCUAUUCUCAAACUUUAAAUGGGCAAGAUCCAGUAGUUACUUAAUUGAACUAUUGGGGUCAAUGAGACGACUCUAAGUGGGCCAUUUUUGGUAAGCAGAACUGGCGAUGAGGGAUGAACCUAACGCUCGGUUAAGGUGCUAAACUGCUCGCUCAUCAGAUACCACAAAGGGUGUUGGUCGAUCUUAACAGCAGGACGGUGGUCAUGGAAGUCGAAAUCCGCUAAGGAGUGUGUAACAACUCACCUGCCGAAUCGACUAGCCCCGAAAAUGGAUAGCGCUGAAGCGAGUGACCGAUACCGGGCCAUUGUUGCAAGAUAAUUGGCAACAAUGAGUAGGAGGGCGUGGGGGUUGUGAAGAAGCUUGGACGUGAGUCUGAGUGAAACAGCUUCCAGUGCAGAUCUUGGUGGUAGUAGCAAGUAUUCAAUAAGAGAACAUUGAAGGCCGAAGUGGGGAAGGGUUCCAUGUGAACAGCACUUGGACAUGGGUUAGCCGAUCCUGAGAGACAGGUUAAAUUCCAUCGGAUUGGAGCUUUGGCUCUGUUUCUCGAAAGGGAAGCUGGUUAGUAUUCCAGCGCCGAGACGUGGAUAAUAUGUGGCAACACAAGUGAACUCGGACACGCCAUAGGGGACCCCAGGAAGCGUUGUCUUUUCUUUUUAACAGUUCGACUUACCCUGGAAUCAGAUCAUCUGGAGAUAGGGUUUUCGAACUGGAAUAGCACCUUGUCUAACAGGGUGUCUGGAGUGUUCUCGCUGGCCCUUGAAAAUCCGAGGGAUAGAUUUAUUCGCACUCUCGAUCGUACCCAUAACCGCAUCAGGUCUCCAAGGUUAGAAGCCUCUGGUCCGUAGGACAAAGUAGAUAAGGGAAGUCGGCAAAAUAGGUCCGUAACUUCGGGAAAAGGACUGGCUCUGAGGUUUGGUAUGUGGAACCUGGAUUAAUCGUUGGAGUCGAGCAGAGACUACUGUUGCUCACGUGACUUGUGGACU